UCCUGGCUCAGAUUGAACGCUGGCGGCAUGCCUUACACAUGCAAGUCGAGCGGCAGCGCGGGGGCAACCCUGGCGGCGAGCGGCGGACGGGUGAGUAAUACAUCGGAACGUGUCCUUUCGUGGGGGAUAACCAGUCGAAAGACUGGCUAAUACCGCAUGAGAUCGUAAGAUGAAAGCGAGGGACCGCAAGGCCUCGCGCGAUUGGAGCGGCCGAUGUCGGAUUAGCUAGUUGGCGGGGUAAGAGCCCACCAAGGCGACGAUCCGUAGCUGGUUUGAGAGAACGACCAGCCACACUGGGACUGAGACACGGCCCAGACUCCUACGGGAGGCAGCAGUGGGGAAUUUUGGACAAUGGGGGCAACCCUGAUCCAGCCAUGCCGCGUGUGUGAAGAAGGCCUUCGGGUUGUAAAGCACUUUCGGCCGGAACGAAAUCGCUUCGUUAAUAGCGGGGGUGGAUGACGGUACGGAAAAGAAGCACGGCUAAAAAU
rnacentral:rRNA from 1 species